rnacentral:tRNA from 1 species
CAAAAAAUAGUUUAAUUAAAAUACUGGUUUUGGGGACUAGAGAUAGGACGGCAGUUCUUUUUUUGC